UACGUAGGGGGCAAGCGUUGUCCGGAAUGACUGGGCGUAAAGGGUGUGUAGGCGGUUAUAUGCGUCGUAUGUGAAGGCCCUGGGCUCAACCCAGGAAUUGCACACGAUACGGUAUGACUGGAGUGUGGGAGAGGUUAGUGGAAUUCCUGGUGUAGCGGUAGAAUGCGUAGAUAUCAGGAGGAACAUCAGAGGCGAAGGCGACUAACUGGACCAUAACUGACGCUGAGACACGAAAGCGUGGGGAGCAAACAGG
rnacentral:rRNA from 1 species